AAACUAUUUAGGUUCAGUAAAUCCCAGCUGUCAGUCAGCCUGGUGAAGGCAGGUUAGUCUGUGGACAGAGACGCUCAACGCCUGUCGGAGGCGUUUAAGGAGGAGCGAAAGCGCACCGCUGUAAAGGAAAGAGAUUGUGGAGCUGCAGGUUGUCAGAGAUCAGCUGUGCUUCUCUGGCCUCAGCUCUGAAGUCCAACCCCUCCCAUCUGAGAUAUCUGUAUCUGUCUGACAACGACGUGUGUGACGUGAAGCAGCUGUGUGAUUUUCUGGAGAGUCCACACUGUAGACUGGAGGUUCUGAGUUUUUAACCUGCAUCCUGUUGGGUUCAG